rnacentral:lncRNA from 1 species
AGGAGUAGUUGGAGCAGGCUUCUUGGGGGUAGUGGGUGCAGGCUCCUUGGGGGUAGUUGGAGCAGUCUCCUUAGGUGUAGUUGGAGCAGGCUUGUCAGAGGUGGUGGAUGUGGGCUCCUUGGUGGUGGUGGGUGCAAGCUCCUUGGGGGCAGGCUUCUUGGGAGUAGUGGGUGCAGGUUCCUUGAGGGUAGUUGGAGCAGUCCCUUUAGGGGUAGUUGGAGCAGUCUCCUUAGGGGUAGUUGGAGCAGGCUCCUUAGGGGUAGUUGGAGCAGGC